UUGGAGGGCAAGUCUGGUGCCAGCAGCCGCGGUAAUUCCAGCUCCAAUAGCGUAUAUUAAAGUUGUUGCAGUUAAAAAGCUCGUAGUUGAAUUUCGGGGUUCUACCGUCGGUCGGGCUUUGUCUGUACUGGUGUGUAGAAUUUCUACCUUCUGGGGAACCAUCAUGCUAUUAAUUUAGCGUGGUGGGAAACCAGGACCUUUACCUUGAAAAAAUAGUGUGUUCAAAGCAGGCUUAUGUCUGAAUACAUUAGCGUGGAAUAAUAGAAUAGGACGGUGGUCCUGUUUUGUUGGUUUCUGAAUCACCGUAAUGAUUAAUAGGGAUAGUUGGGGGCAUUAGUAUUCAAUUGUCAGAGGUGAAAUUCUUGGAUUUAUUGAAGACUAACUUCUGCGAAAGCAUUUGCCAAGGAUGUUUUCAUUAAUCAAGAACGAAAGUUAGGGGAUCGAAGACGAUCAGAUACCGUCGUAGUCUUAACCAUAAACUAUGCCGACUAGGGAUCGGACGAUGUUAAUUUUUCUUGACUCGUUCGGCGCCUUACGGGAAAC
rnacentral:rRNA from 1 species